AGGAUUUUAAGUUAACAAAACUAUUAACCUUCAAAGUUAAAAUUACUUGAAGUAAAUCUUA
rnacentral:tRNA from 1 species